CUUGGUAUUAUCUUUGUCCCUCUUUUAUGUCUAUUGCCAUCAGCUGAAUUGAGGGUCAUGUUUCAAACACAUAGCCUCGUUCCUACCCAUCGCUGGUCCGUUUCAUCUUUCCUGGAGGCAGCUGUACUCACUUUCUAAAUCACCUCCCCCCACCCCCGUGCUGGCCAGAGGCAGGGUUAGGAUUUAUACCUGAGUCUGUAUUCUCCUAAGUCCCACACACUAUGUCGAGUUGACUUCUCGGCACAUCAGAGAUCUGCCUGGCUCUCACAGGCUUUGGCACAUACAGGAGGGCAGCAGGGCCCAUGGCAAAUCAGCUCUCGGCCAGAGCAGGCUUUCCAGGAAGUGUAAAGGCUGCAGUCAUGCACCCGAAGGACGCCUCAGGGCAAGGCGCUUUGCGUGCUCUGAGGUCCAGCACGGAAGAUCCCAAGAGGAUGAGAAUGUUGGGGACCAGAGUGUGUCGCUGUGCCCUGGAAAGAGAUCGCCUCGACAGCCACCCCGAAGAUUCACCUGCUUUCCUAUUUCCAGCCCAUACUGGUUCUUGGAAGCCCAGUGACACCUAGAUGUCCCCGCCAUUGAGGUGGGAGGACAGAAUCAGAGUUUGUGCGCUUCUUUCUGGUCGUGAUGGCGAGAUCUGGUGGGAAAAGGCAGGAAAGAAGCAAUGCCUCGACAUAAAGAGAAACGUUAGUAGUGUUUUGAAUUUCUGAUCUAGAAAAACGACUGGUCGGGAUGAAACUGACUUUUUAGUGUUUUCAAAAUAUCUCAGUUUGAAACUUUCACCUGUUCUGGUCUGUUCACCUUUCUCCUAAUGUUGCUUCCCAGCCUUGGUUGGAGGGAAGACCAGGAGAGGGCAGAGAUGGGAUUACCCAGG
rnacentral:lncRNA from 1 species